rnacentral:rRNA from 1 species
UACGUAGGGGGCUAGCGUUGUCCGGAUUUAUUGGGCGUAAAGAGCGUGUAGGCGGCCGUGUAGGUCCGUUGUGAAAACUCGAGGCUCAACCUCGAGACGUCGAUGGAAACCACACGGCUAGAGUCCGGAAGAGGAGAGUGGAAUUCCUGGUGUAGCGGUGAAAUGCGCAGAUAUCAGGAAGAACACCUAUGGCGAAGGCAGCUCUCUGGGACGGUACUGACGCUGAGACGCGAAAGCGUGGGGAGCGAACAGG